rnacentral:tRNA from 6 species
AUAUUGAUUUGGCAGAUUAGUGCAUUAAAUUUAGAAUUUAAAUAUGUAUAUUUACAAUCAAUA